AUUGAACGCUGGCGGCAGGCCUAACACAUGCAAGUCGAGCGGAUGAGAAGAGCUUGCUCUUCGAUUCAGCGGCGGACGGGUGAGUAAUGCCUAGGAAUCUGCCUGGUAGUGGGGGACAACGUUUCGAAAGGAACGCUAAUACCGCAUACGUCCUACGGGAGAAAGCAGGGGACCUUCGGGCCUCGCGCUAUCAGAUGAGCCUAGGUCGGAUUAGCUUGUUGGUGAGGUAAUGGCUCACCAAGGCGACGAUCCGUAACUGGUCUGAGAGGAUGAUCAGUCACACUGGAACUGAGACACGGUCCAGACUCCUACGGGAGGCAGCAGUGGGGAAUAUUGGACAAUGGGCGAAAGCCUGAUCCAGCCAUGCCGCGUGUGUGAAGAAGGUCUUCGGAUCGUAAAGCACUUUAAGUUGGGAGGAAGGGCAGCCAGCGAAUACCUGGUUGUUUUGACGUUACCGACAGAAUAAGCACCGGCUAACUCUGUGCCAGCAGCCGCGGAACAC
rnacentral:rRNA from 1 species